CCCGCCGUAGCUCAGCCCGGUUUAGAGCGCCCGGCUGUAGACCGGGUGGCCCGGGGUUCAAGUCCCCGCGGCGGGA
rnacentral:tRNA from 2 species